UUUUUUAGACAUAUUGUGGUUUUGAUGAUGAAGGGACACAUGUAGAAAAAAAAAGAAAUAGAAUGACAAGAUUUGCGGUAAGUUUUUGAAAAUUGAAUCUGCUUCAUGUUCAUUGUGCAUUUUCUUAAUUAUUUGUUCCAAAAGUGUAUUUUGCUUUUGCUGAAUGCUCAAAUGUGUUGCAGCUGGGUCACAUAAACUAAAAAGGAAAAUAGCUGUAGCUGUUAAAGACAGAACUGACUGUGACAGGGGUAAAAAAAAAAAGGAGAAAAUAUAAAGACAAAUAUCUUUCCUUAAUUUUAACACUGGCUGGAAAUGCUGGCUGCAUUUGAAAUAAAAUUUAAAAAAAUAUUUGAUACGCUUGGCUUAGAAGUGAAAAACGGUUUGUGCUGAAAAGGUCAAACUAAAUGUCAGACAUAAACCCACAAAUUUAACAUUAUGAUCUUUGUGCAUUUGGUGCAGGUUUUUAUUGCUGACUGAAACAAUUAAUUUCUCCGUGGGUUUGAUUUUAUCAGAUGACCUAAACAGACACCUGCAGAAAAAAGAUCGAAGCAAAUGAUGGUGCUUGAUUUUAAAAAUGCUACAAUGAGGGUGUAGCAUUAUGUGCGAAAUUAGGUGUGAAAAUUAUGACCAGCUGCAUCUUUCUUCUUUGCAUCUGUCUUUGAAUUAUAAUAAUCAGGAUAUCGUUUGCAUUUGAGUCAAAAUUCAGAAAAUACUUGUAUAAAAGAUGCUUGUGCACAUAGGCUACGACAUUUUGUAGCAUUUUCCCAUUUACUUCCACUUGGUUUGCAGUGGUACAGUUUAAGCUAAGAGUCUGGCAUUAAUAGAUGAGUAUAAAGGCAGUGGAAGUGCAUGUCGUUGUAUGUCACUGAAAUGUUAAGAAGAAAUGCAGCAGUGAUUGAAUUAUUUUUCCGCAAAAAAAUCUGACAGCUUUUCUGCUUGAAAACUCUUUCACGUUUCAGUGAAACUGCUAUUCCCUGACUUGCACUUUAUGCACCUGUAUAAGAUUUGUGUUUGUGGUUUUUUUUCUUCUUUUUUAGAGGGAGACAGGGUUUUUCUUCUUGUCAGGAUUCCCUUUUUUUUUUUUAGUGUUUAAAAAAAACACAAGACCUGCAAAUCUUGGACUGGCCACUAGAGCAUUUUUGUGCAGGGUAGGUAUUUACUAGACCCUUAGUGUCUCACUCAUGAAUAUUUCCCUCUAUUAGUUUUAGUCCUGUCUGUCUCUUGUGUGGACUGGUGCGUGAAUCACUCCUUGCACCCUGCUGAUAUUUACAUUAUUUAUGAGCUAUGAUUUUUGUUGCACUCCAGAAGUGUUUUUUGCCUUUCGAGUUUGCAACCAGGAACUUAGUUUUGCAGAAGUCUUGAGUACAGCGAGUACAAUACUUCUUGUACUUGUGACAGCACAAGCAUUUGUGUUCUGUAGCUCUAUUCUUCUUUUUUUUCUUUUGUAAAUAAAAAAAUAGUUCAGAAGGGGAAGCUAGUUGACGGGGCAGGCGUCUUUGUCAAAAAACACAGAGUGGUUUCUGCUCUCUGUAACUUUCAUUUUAGUUCUCCAUCCUCUAACUUUCAAAGAUCAGCAAGCAUUAACACACACACCGGGUGUUCCUACCUUUUGGUUUUCCACAUAAUAUCUGAUUCCUGUAAAAAAAAAAAAAGAAGUCUACUGUCUUUACUAGCACCAUAGGCUGACUCAGCACUCAAAACUAUUCAACUCACAUUUCUGUGAGUUGAACAGAAAUGUGUUUUGAUCGUCAUACUGUUUUGUUUCUACAACAAUUUUUUUUUUUUUUUUACAAUAGUAUAAGAAAUAAAAACUCAAUGGCUUGCUUAAUUAUUUUCAACCUGGUUUUGUAAAUUUCCCAGCAACACGAUUCAGUAGCACCACCCGUAAAUCAUGACAUCUUAAAAACACGGGGAGAAGCAUUGGCACGUUUUUCUUAAAAUGUCUGCCACUUAAUCACCCAGGUGUUUUUUUUUUACAAGUUCCUGUGAUAAAAUUGACUCACAGUUCACCUUCGUGUUGCCUUCUGACGUCCGCAGCUCAGGCAGAUACUCAUCAAGGUAACAUCAGCUCACUCAGCUGUACAAAGCAGCACUGGACCAGUUACGGCACGCAAAAAAAUGAUGAGGUCCUUUCCCCUCCAGUCGCUGCAGAUUCCACCUCCGGCAGUGAAGAGGAAGGUGGGAAAAGGAGCGCUGGUGUACUUGCAGACGUCACUGAGCAACACUCACAGCUGCUCUAAAACAGCGCCUGGUAGGAAAAAAGGAAGGACAGGGAGAGAGGACAAACGAUGGCAAGAAUCAUCCGUCUGUCUCUGGAGACUGAGGCAUAAUCAGCGCACAGGAGAUUCAUCUUUUUCUCCAGCGAAACAUGUUACUUUUGGAUUUUCUGUGUCUUUUAAUAGGCUAGGAAUGUCAAUUUUGUGAUUACUGUAAUUUUGUACUUGUUUGUUUGUUACUGAAGGAGUAAAAACAGAGACCGCCAGCUCAGGCUUACCUCAACUUGUCGUCUACGACACUUCAUUGUAGUCAGUAAAGACAAUACCUACUUAAAGUGUAAUAAUAAUAAAAAAAAAAAAAACAUACUACAUUUUAUGAGAUCACAAUCUAGGGAAAUGUAAAUUCAAAGUUCAGAGGAGGUCACAUUUUGAUGUGGUUUUAUUUUUGUCGCAUUUCCACUUUCAUUUCACAAUUAUGUGUAGUGACCAUAUUGUGAUGUCCAACACAGUCCUAAAACGCUUCAAUCAAACACUUUUGAUCCUUUGAAUGCAUCAUCACGGUCUGUCCACAUUUAACCAUCUACUCCACGUCACACUCCUCCCUGGUCUAAACCUCUGCAAACCAGUGAUCGGUUUCCGAUUCACACCUCAACAUAUCCUUUCAUUUGUUCAGUUUUCCUCACAGUGCUAAGGGAAAUCCCAGGACCAGACAGUUACACCACUUCCUGUGUCAUAAUAAACCCGUUAGCUUCGACCACUGUCUGCUGAGAGUUUACUCAAAUGCGGGUCAGAAGUUUGCCUCAAGAUUUGACGCUCUGAGUACAUGCGGCCCAAAACCUUGCAGCAGAAGUGACACGUUCGACAUCUUGAAAAAUACAGUACACGUUAUCUAACUGAUUCAUUUGGGUGGUGUUGCAUUUAUGGGGAGAAUGAGUUUGAGUCAGAGUUCUUUUGGUGUUGUCACUGAACUAUCGGACAGUUUAGUCAACCACUUCUUUAGACCCGCAGAGGGCACUUAGUGAUGAAAAUUGAUGAGUCACUAAAACACUUGAUGAGUCACUAAAUCGCAGCGAACCUUUUUUUGCUAAUAGCGUAAGUUGAGUUGUUUGACUUGUAACCCAGACAACAGAAGCUCUAGCUUUUCCAGAGAACUGUUAAGUUCCCUCAUUUGAAACUCAUUAUGUAGCCAAAUGUAUUGGGUCAUCAUCACACUGAACCAUUGAAUUCAGGUCUUAAUGUCACUUCUUCUUCACUUCCAUGGACACAGGUGUUUGAUAUGGCGCAGCUCAGCGUGAAGCUCCUGCAAACAUUUACGAUGAAAUGGUUUGAAUUCCAGUGUGGUGCUUUCUGGGAAGCCACCUGUGCAAAAACAAGUGAGAUCGUAAAAUUUCCUCACUGCUAAAUUCCAAAGUCUGCUCCUCGUGGUAUUGUGACAAAGUGGAAUGGAGUUCUGCAAAGUCAAUAGCUGCAGACCUCCAGGCUUUAUGUGGCGAUGUCAUUAUAUAAAUCGCCAGAUGCUGUGGUGUGAAGCAUCCUGCCACCGGACUCUAGAGCAGCGGAGUCAUGUUUCCUGCAGUGGUGAAUCAUGUUCCUCUGUCUAAGGAAGAACAGACUUACUUGACUGAACUGUGUCGCGCUUAAAGUUUGGUUCAGGGGUAAUGACGGUUUGAUAAUUUGGUGCUUGUAACUUUGUGGGAACAGUCUAGAGAUGACCCGCUCUUCAACAGGACGGCUGAAGUGCACAAAGCAACGUCAAAGACUUGGACUAGCAAGAUCAGUGCGGAGAAACUUGACUCCGCACCUAGUCAAGUUCAGAGAUCUCAACUCUUUGAACGUUUUUGGUGUGAAUUUGAAUGGAGACUGUAAGUUAGGAUGCCUUGUCACACUCCUAAGCCUCAGAGAGUUGGAGCUGUGACACAAGUAUGCCUCCAUUUGACCCAUCGCCUAGUGGAGAAGUGGUGCAAGUUGCUAGCGCAAAGUGUCUGUCUUUAGUAAAUACUUGUUUAAAUAGCAAACAACAGAAAUUGUGAGAGUGAAGGCCAGAAAACGGGAGCGGGGAAAAAAACACAACAAAACAAAAAGGAACAAGACAGUAAACUGGAAGGUUGCGUUUAAAAUGAUUUAGGAGAGAUGCAGAGGAGCCAUUUUGCUUCUCUUCUACUCAACGUCAUGGAGGGACUGAGACCAAAAUCAUUAACCCUGCUAACCAGAGCAUAUCGACCUUACCAGAACAUGAGCCUGUGCCCAAAUGCUGGUCCAUGAGGUAAAAGUGGUCAUGGAGCCAUAAACAAUUUUGACUGCCUCAACCGUGUCUGUCAAGGAGUCAUGGAGUACAGAUUCUGCAUGAUUGGUGGGCUGAGAGAAAAAUGAAGUGCUGCCAAAACAAGGAUGCUAAUUUUAAAGCCUCUGAACCAGCACACAAACAACAGAAACAGAUCUUCUCUAGAUUUCCCCUCAGUUGCAUCCUGGUAAACAUUGGGUACAUCCCAAGAUAGUGUCUGCUUACUCUACGUCUUUUGGAGCAGAGUUUUCCAUUCCAUGUUGCAUUUUCAGUGAUGUUAAAAGCUUGUGAUGUGGCGAAACAGGCUUCAGUACAAAGGCUUCAUGGCCCAGCAGUAUUAACCUAUUUUGCACAGGGAAUAGAGGGAUGAAUACACAGAUACAGUUUGAAUCAGAGUGUGUAUUGUGGGCUACAACUUUGAGAAGAAUUGUUGCUGUUUGUCAGGACAUUUUGUAGGCUGACGAUUUCCUUCCUACGCAACUCUGCUCGAUUCCAAUCUCCCUUCACUGCUCCGCCUGGACUUUCUUCCAUUCAAAUGGAUUUCUCCUGUAGAAUCUCACCUGGCCAAUCAGCGAAAAGAAGAAGUUGUGAACAAAGAUGUAGAUUUUUUUUUUUUUUUUGCAUUGUUUUAGACUGUCUGUAGUUUUAGCAAUGGCAGCAGAGAAAGGGAACGAAACCAGUAAGUCCAUGUUGGCCAAGCUUCCAGAUAUUAAAUCAAUAUUAACAGCCAUCUUGAUUGACUCGUAAAAACACUUUGCUCCACACUUCAUACAGAGGGUUUGGACCCUCAGUUGUUAGGAAAUGAUUGCUUCCUGGAGACAUGGUCUCCGUUGUUGAUUUGAAUAUGACCCAAUCGCUAACGUUUGACCGUGACAUAUGUAAUAUGCCGGUUUGAUGCUACAAAGCUAACUGGAAAUUGUGUGUGCUGUAACCUUUCUACACUAAUGGCAAUACAAAGUAAAAAAAGAAAAAAGUAUCGACUUAAUUAUAAAACGAAUCAAUUAAAUGGAUAAAAUGAUGCAACAGAUUCAACUUAAAUACAAUAAUUGUGACUCAACAUGUUCGUCUUGGAGUAGCUUUACAAAUGCUGCUGCUGGAACAAAACGCAGCGUUUAAAAACAGGGUUUCUUAAUGGGGAAGAGAGAAUUGAAGAGAGAAUUGCCAAGCAGAACAAGAUGGCUGUUAUUGGCUGUCAUUGUUCAUAACUCCCCUUUCUGUUCGCUGAAAUUUUACCGGAGAAAUCCACUUCAAUGGGAGAAAACCCAGACGGAGUACUGAAGAGGGAUUAAAAUAGAGCAAAAUUGCAUAGGAAGGAAAUGGCACUACAUAACUAUCAUUAUUCAUAUUCGUAUUAUUAUGGAUAGAGCUCCUAAAAUGGCUCUAGCCAUGCGCUCCUCCACGUUCUUCUGCUGCCUGCUAGCCUUCAGGUCAGAUCCAAUAACAUCUCAGUUGCAUUGAACUGAGAUUGUAGGCAGUAAUCAGAUAACAUUCACCACAGAAGAGGUGGUGAGUUUAUCAUGGAGACGGUCACCUGUGUCUCUCACCAGAAUGCUUUCCUGGUCCCCCCAGUUAGAGCAAACAUUGUAAUGGUCUCUCUGUUCGUUUAACAAGGGAAUCUCAAAGGCGAAUGUAGUUGAUGUUCGCUCUCAGUGCUCUGCAUGUCUGAAUGCAGCUCAACAGGGUCAGCGCCGUGGGGAUUACCGAAUUUCUUUUAAGGAUUCUAUUAAAAUAUUUCCUUGAGCCCUUCUCUGAAAGUUCUAAUCUAAUCCAUUUGUCUUUUCAGCUAUCUGAGCAUUAUCUAAGCAUUUAUGAUAAAGAGACUGUUUCUUGGGCAGUCGCAGAUACAAAUCAGAAGGAUGAAGCAUGUUUACUUUAAUGUGUGUGAUAUAGAUUCCACUUUCAAGCAGAACGUGAGCCACACACCCCACUACCAGCUUCUGUGUAUCUGCAUGUAUGCACAAUCGCUGAUAGCAGGUGUGUGUGUGUGUGUGUGUGUGUGUGUGUGUGUGUGUGUGAGGACAUUAACUUCCAAAAAUGGUUGAAGCUGCCAAGAACCGAGUUGUUUUCACAGUCAUGUUACUGCUUUUACUGUUUUCUCAGAAAUAUUUACACAAGCAGCAACGUUGCCUCAGUUUGUGGCAUACCAUACCAAAGUCAUAUCAUAAGUCAUGAAUUGAAUUUGUUGUGAAAUUAGAACAAUUCACAGCGGUAAAAAAAAAAAAUAGAUCACUUCCUCAUUUAGGCUCCAUUUCUGGGAAAUCAAGGCAUCUCUCAAGGUACAGUCAGGCAUCAGAUGUUUUUGUCACUUUAGUGCCAGUAAUCGUCCCUCUUUUUUCCUGUGAUUCUUUUCAAAGCUUUUCUGGUUUUAUUUCUGGUGGUUGUGAGAAAUAACUUCACAUGCCACAGUGUGAACAGCUCAGUCGAGCUGCUUAAACUAGUGGCUUUUUCCAGCUCACACAGCUACGAUGUGACUUGUGCCUACGGUGGCCCUGGAGUGCAAAAUGCAAAUUUAAAACCGGAAACAAAAACAUUUCAGGACAGUCAUUUCUGAAAACCCAAAAGCGAAACAGGAAACCAAGUCUUAGAGCACAUGAUUCUUAGCAAUACAGCUUUUUGGGAAAAAGGAAAUAAUAAAAAAAAAACUUUUGCAGUUACAAAACAGAAACAGCUGAAACAGAUUAGCAGUCAUGAAACUAAAUGGAAAAGAAUCAAAUCAAAACACGACUGAUUUGGUUAACAUCACGUCCAGAUAUAUUUACUUAAUGAGUUUUUCAGAAACAACCGAGAAACAUGACAGGACUACACUGUCACGUGUUUCUCAAUUGUUUGUGCCCCAAAGCCACAAAAGACAUCUAAAUACCUGUUAAUGAUAAUUAUAUGUACACCAUUAAAUACUCACCAGUAAGUACAUAUGGUGAAUAUACAGUAAGUAGUUUUUUGUAACUUGGUUAAUUCUCACUCACUCCAGACGUUUGUGCUGGAUAGCAAUUGUGUAUAUUUUGAACUUGUAAAAUACGCGAUGUAGUUUCACGUGAGCACAUGUUACAAAAAGAAACAAUUUAAAAAAAUUAAAAUGUUUUCAUUUCAAAGUGCAUUUUUUUUAGGCACAAUGGGUUGUUUUUUUUUUUUUGCACAGUUUACUUACAUAAAAUUGUGAAUAAAUUCUAAAUAUAUAUAUAAAAACAACAUUUACUUUAACAGAAGAAUGUAAUGGUCUGGUAAUGUGUUAACUUAAAUAAAUAAACCUUUAAUGUUUCUUACUAAAGAUAGCUGACUGUGCAUUUAUGGUCAUAGUUUUUAAUUUUAACUCACAAUUUUGCUCCUGUUAUUAUUUUAAAGUCAGAGUAGUUUUGAAUUGGUAGUGAAUUGGUAUGCUAUCUGUAGCGUGGUUAUCCCUAUUUUUGCUCUGACUCAUUGAUGAUCAGACUCAUAGCAUAGUCAGGUGUUUUCCAUUGAUCACAUGCAAGCAAACUGCACACCAAAGAUUGUUCUGCUGCCUCACAAACUUACAGCUACAUAUGUUGUAAACGCUGGGAAACGUAAUGACUAAUGUUUAAGCUGCGCUAAGCGUAGCGCCCCUUGCUUCACCAGAGGGAGCAGAGUGAUAGACAGAAGGCCUCUGCCAUCUUCAUUUCAUUUCCAUCUAUACUGUAGUGUAAAAUCCAGAUGUUGUAAUAAAUAAAAACAAAAAGACAUAGGCGAACUAUUGAAGUUUUGUGAGCAGCAAAAACUUAGAAAACAGUCGGUUUUGUUUGAAAGGAACCACCCGAAAAGCGGCUGCGUGUCUCUAGGGUCACGGCUGAUGUGCUGUCAGACAGCAGACCGUCACUAGGUCAUGUGUCUAUACCAACACCAGCCCUUCAUAAAGUUUACAUUGGUUUUAACAGAAAAUGGGACAACAAAUUUUUAAUACUAAGUAUGCAAUACAAUUGGUUAUUUUUUUAGCCAUUUAUUGCACAUGUAUUCAGUUCAAUAUCAUUAAUUACAGAGAUAGAGUCCAAAAACAAAAACGAUCAGGUUUUGUAUGGGUCUUCUCAAGCUUUCACCUACAUUGAAGGUAAAAAAAAAAA